AAUGGAGGAAACUCUGAUGCAGCGAUGCCGCGUGAGUGAAGAAGGCCUUUGGGUUGUAAAGCUCUUUCGUCGGGGAAGAAAAUGACUGUACCCGAAUAAGAAGGUCCGGCUAACUUCGUGCCAGCAGCCGCGGUAAUACGAAGGGACCUAGCGUAGUUCGGAAUUACUGGGCUUAAAGAGUUCGUAGGUGGUUGAAAAAGUUGGUGGUGAAAUCCCAGAGCUUAACUCUGGAACUGCCAUCAAAACUUUUCAGCUAGAGUAUGAUAGAGGAAAGUAGAAUUUCUAGUGUAGAGGUGAAAUUCGUAGAUAUUAGAAAGAAUACCAAUUGCGAAGGCAGCUUUCUGGAUCAUUACUGACACUGAGGAACGAAAGCAUGGGUAGCGAAGAGGAUU
rnacentral:rRNA from 1 species